UAGAGUUUGAUCCUGGCUCAGGAUGAACGCUAGCGACAGGCCUAACACAUGCAAGUCGAGGGGUAACAGGAGCAGCUUGCUGCUUGCUGACGACCGGCGCACGGGUGCGUAACGCGUAUGCAACCUGCCUCAUACAUUGGGAUAGCCCGGAGAAAUCCGGAUUAAUACCAAAUAACAAUUACAUAUCGCAUGGUAUGUAAUUUAAAGCUUCGGUGGUAUGAGAUGGGCAUGCGUGACAUUAGGUAGUUGGUGGGGUAACGGCCCACCAAGCCUACGAUGUCUAGGGGUUCUGAGAGGAAGGUCCCCCACACUGGUACUGAGACACGGACCAGACUCCUACGGGAGGCAGCAGUGAGGAAUAUUGGGCAAUGGACGGAAGUCUGACCCAGCCAUGUCGCGUGCAGGAAGACGGUUCUACGAAUUGUAAACUGCUUUUCUAUGGGGAGAAACACAGGGACGUGUCCCUGUCUGCCUGUACCAUAGGAAUAAGCAUCGGCUAACUCCGUGCCAGCAGCCGCGGUAAUACGGAGGAUGCGAGCGUUAUCCGGAUUCAUUGGGUUUAAAGGGUGCGUAGGCGGAUUGGUAAGUCAGGGGUGAAAGUUUGCCGCUCAACGGUAAAAUAGCCUUUGAUACUGUCAAUCUUGAGUGAACGCGAGGUAUGCGGAAUGAGUAGUGUAGCGGUGAAAUGCAUAGAUAUUACUCAGAACACCGAUUGCGAAGGCAGCAUACCAGAGUUCAACUGACGCUGAUGCACGAAAGCGUGGGUAGCGAACAGGAUUAGAUACCCUGGUAGUCCACGCCGUAAACGAUGGUCACUAGCUGUAUGCGAUAUAAAGUAUGUGGCAAAGCGAAAGCAUUAAGUGACCCACCUGGGGAGUACGUUGGCAACGAUGAAACUCAAAGGAAUUGACGGGGGCCCGCACAAGCGGUGGAACAUGUGGUUUAAUUCGAUGAUACGCGAGGAACCUUACCCGGGCUUAAAUGCAGGCUGCAUAGUACAGAGAUGUACUUUUCUUCGGACUGCUUGCAAGGUGCUGCAUGGUUGUCGUCAGCUCGUGCCGUGAGGUGUCGGGUUAAGUCCCAUAACGAGCGCAACCCCUAUCGUUAGUUGCCAUCAGGUGAAGCUGGGGACUCUAACGAGACUGCCGGUGUAAACCGCGAGGAAGGUGGGGAUGACGUCAAAUCAGCACGGCCCUUACGUCCGGGGCUACACACGUGUUACAAUGGCCGGUACAAAGGGCAGCUACCCCGCGAGGGGAUGCGAAUCUCGAAAACCGGUCACAGUUCGGAUCGGAGUCUGCAACCCGACUCCGUGAAGCUGGAACCGCUAGUAAUCGCGCAUCAGCCAUGGCGCGGUGAAUACGUUCCCGGGCCUUGUACACACCGCCCGUCAAGCCAUGGGAGCCGGGGGUACCUGAAGUCUGUAACCGAGAGGAGCGGCCUAGGGUAAAACUGGUGACUGGGGCUAAGUCGUAACAAGGUAACCA
rnacentral:rRNA from 2 species